rnacentral:lncRNA from 1 species
CUCGGAUAGCCGAUCUUGCACGAAUGUUUUUACAGACCUUGUACUUGAUACUGAUUGGACAUUGAGGCUCAAGAGAUUUGAAACCUCCUGGAGAUGAGAUUUGAGUCCCGCCCUUGUCACCGGGCCCUAAAGGUUUGCAGCAUAGAUUCCCCUCCCCUAACGUGCGGAAAGCGAUCUACUUAGAAUUCCUUUCUUCUGAUCCACUGUCUCAAGGGAAGGGAAGGAAUUAAUGUAGUAAUGACUUCAACUUAGGCUCUUAUGUGUUACAUUACCACAGUUUUUGUAAUGGUUCUCUGCAACAUACUAGGAAGGCAAUAAAGGAGAUAGCUGGGAUUUGAAAUGGAACUGAUGGAAUCAAGUUUCCAUAGAUUAAUGGGAUUAAGAAGGUGAGAACUCUGUGGUGUUUAAAGGUGGGAUCCUUUGGGAAACUACUAUAUGAGGUCAAUGUGGGUGUCCCCAGAGAAAAAGAGACUAGAUUUCUGUGCACCCCACCGUGAGAUGACUCAGCCUGAGGAGCCUGAUGGAAUCUAUACGGUGCUGCACCAAGCUUGAGGACUUUGAAUCUCCAAAAUGGAAAUAAAACUCACUGUGUCAUAAAAA